AGUGUCCAGAUCGGGAGGGAGGGUGAUGUCUGUCUGUCUUAUCAUCAGCUACAGCUCGGACGGAGCAAGAUGAGCUCAGAGCCCACCUCAGUUUGAGUUGCCAUCUUUUCCAGCGCUUUGCAUACUAACAGCGUUACGUAAUUAUACAGUUGUAGCCUGUAAAUGACCGGCUCCGGCAAAACCCGCGUCUUACCGCACUCUGUAGCGGAGUAUUGAACACACUGUAGCGAAGUAUUGAACACUCUGUAGCGGAGUCUGGAACACUCUGCAGCGCGGUGUGACACUCCGUGAUUUCACAGUUGCCUAAAGUUGUAAAGACAGAGGCGUUGAACAGGAGAAGCGCGUCAGGACUGAAAGUUGAAGUGAAGAAGACUAAAGAACAUGGCGAGGGUCGGUCCAGAGAACGGCAUCUGAAUUACCUGCUGGAAAAGAAAAGGGCGCAUAUAAACCGAGAGGCGAGCCGGUAAACACCGCGGGAUGAACAGGAAGGAGACCGCCAGCGGAGAAAAGCACUGACGGCCGACUCGGUGUUCAGAGCCGCCUGCGGUGCUCAAACUCCGUUAUAUCUGUCUUCUGCAGAUGAGCAGGAUUUGGGGAACUGGAGUGAUGAAGUGACGUUUACAUGGAGAGCUAGGAGAAAAGAAGAAAACAUUAUGCCAAGAGGAAAUGCAUGUAAGACACUCUUGUCCUUGAAGCCAAGUGGCAUCACUGUUGUGCAUUGAAUUAUAAGGUUUGUUUUGUUUUUUUAUUCAGACAAUUCCUGACCCUACAUUUAGUGAACCGUAAUAUUAGUUCAUAAAUACCUGUAAGAUCCUGAACAAUGCAUUUGACACACACUCUUCAGCACUGUACACUGCUGAAUAACUGGUCAGCAAUUUGGAUGUCAAAACAUGAACCACAUAAUGACCACUUCAAAAAGGUCAUUUUUAAAUCUCUGUGAUAAUCGUUUACUGGUUAGCAGUAUUUUGUGCGCGAGUUUGUAAUAACCUGAAAUGUUGCAAGUAUUUAUGGAUGCUAAAUCAAAGGUUUUCAGCACCUGAAUCACUUAUGCAAGGUUAUUGUUGGGAUAUACAGUGUAUCAUUAUAGUAGUAGUAUUGAAUUUAAAUGCUAUGUGUAAUAUAUAUCUUGUUUAAUAAAUCAUUUUAUUCAACUAUA